rnacentral:lncRNA from 1 species
GACGCGGGGCGGGCCGCGGGCCGCGGGCUGCAGGACGGCGGGCGCUGGGUUCGGCCUGGCUGGGCCAGCGGCUCCUAACACCGGACGGGCGGCUGCGGCGGCACUUCCGGGUUGGCCUUCUCCAUGUUGGUCUCGGGAACGUGAAGGGGCGGGGCCUCGAGGUCAGGGGUCAGCGCCUCCCUGGUUGCCGUGGCGACUGGAGGCACGCGACGCGGGCGCGAUGGCGGGGACUCUAGGCCCGGGAUUUGAUGCUGCUUGGGCCUGGCCCAGUGGCGGGUCCUGGGGACGUGGCAGAGGCCGGCAGACUAGAGUUUUCAUCUCAUGGAAAAUUCAGAAUCAGAAUCAAAAACAGCUGAGGUAGUUACUCGGGUGCCUUCCUUCAACCUAUUCAAAAGAAUAUAGGAUGAACGACUCUCAGAAGGUGAUGGAUGGGAUAUUCUGAAAGUUGGAAGGCAGGCUUUGAGCCACAGAGAGCCACUGCAACAUUUGAAGAUUCUGGUGAUGAUGCUGACUGCCUGGCUACCUAAGAGGAAGAAAGGUUUGCCAACCCUUCUCUCAUGCUCACCGUCCAUCUUCCAUCACCUUUCCCCCUUUUAAUGCCCUUUCCCUGCUUUUUUUUAUCCAAUAAACCUUUACUGAGCAC